GAUGGAAGAACGUAGCGAAAUGCGAUACGUAAUGUGAAUUGCAGAAUUCCGUGAAUCAUCGAAUCUUUGAACGCACAUUGCACCCGGUGGUAUUCCGCCGGGUAUGCCUGUCUGAGCGUCAUUUCUACCCUCAAGCCCUGCUUGGUGUUGGCGGAUUGCCCACUGUGGCAACCGCUGAAAAUGAAUGGCGGUAGCACACUUGUCCCCUGUAGAGUAAUUAUCCUUACAGCGGUCUAGUGGACGAACCAGCCCCAAACCCCAAAGAAAUAGCAAAGUUGACCUCAGAUCAGGUAGGAAUACCCGCUGAACUUAAGCAUAUCAAUAAGCGGAGGA
rnacentral:misc_RNA from 1 species